UAACGGUUGAUGAGCAUCCAAAUC
rnacentral:sRNA from 1 species